UCACUCAUUGAUCCCAUGACCCCACCAAUGAUCCCACUGGUGACGUGUCUCCCAUCGAUCCCAUGACCCCACCGAUGAUCCCAAUGGUGAUGUGUCUCCCAUCGAUCCCAUGACCCCACCGAUGAUCCCAAUGGUGACGUGUCUCCCAUUGAUCCCAUGACCCCACGAUGAUCCCAAUGGUGACGUGUCUCCCAUUGAUCCCAUGACCCCCCCAGCAAUCCAACCCAUCCUACAGAUGGUCCCAUUUAUCCCAGCGAUACCAGCAAUCCCACUGAUGCCACCGAUGAUGCCACCAGUGACCCAUUGGUCCCGUGACCCCACUGAUGAUCCCAUCCAUCCCACCCAUCCCAGCAGUCCCACCGAUGAUCCCAUCCGUCCCAGUGAUCCCACUGAUACCAACUAUGAUCCCAUCCGUGAUCCCACCCGUGUCACCAUCGAUCACAUGACGUCACUGUUGAUCCCAUCCAUCCCACCAUCCCAGUCAUCUCAGUGAUCCCAUCCAUCCCAGCGAUCCCAGCGAUCCCAGUGAUCCCACCAAUCCCAGUGAUGAUCCCAUCCAUCCCAUGAUGAUCCCAUCCAUCCCACCAACCCCAGUGAUGAUCCCAUCCAUCCCAUGAUGAUCCCAUCCAUCCCACCAAUCCCAGUGAUGAUCCCAUCCAUCCCCGUAUGAUCCCAUCCAUCCCCCCAAUCCCUGUGAUGAUCCCAUCCAUCCCAGUGAUGAUCCCAUCCAUCCCAUCCAUCCCACCGAUCCCAGUGAUGAUCCCAUCCAUCCCAGUAUGAUCCCAUCCGUCCCACCGAUCCCAGUGAUGAUCCCAUCCAUCCCAGUAUGAUCCCACCAAUC
rnacentral:lncRNA from 1 species